UUCUCCACCGAAUAGAUGCAAGGAUGGAGUUGCUCUCCCUCUUGCAAUUAAUUUUUCCCCAUUCUUUCUGUGCUCAGUAUCGCCUUUUCCCCUCCCUUCCCAUCCAGUGCAAGAUGUCGUGCCUCUAUUUAAUCUUCUCCCCUCCCCGUCAUCUCCUCUGCCCCCUUUCUUCUCUUCCUUGAUCCUCGCCACAUGCUAUUUGUGCUUCCGUCCAUCUGCGUGUCGUGGAGUCGAGCCUCCUGAUCGAGGUCUAUGUUUCAAGCUACAGCCUCCACAUCUCGACAGAGCCAACUCUCCUCCCUGACACUGCUGUCUAUCUGCACGGCGUCAUCGAGGUUAGGUAUCCUCACGGGCAUAUUCCUGAGUUGUGGAGUGAUACUGCCUGGGAGGUAUCCCAAAUCAACAUUAACUGAUGAUUAGUCAAAAGUGUCGAUGAAAUUUGUGACAUCAUUCUUCUUCACGAUGAUUCAUGUAAUAUAAUUCUGGCAUGAAAAGCAGUCCUCGGUGAGCUCUCAAAAUCUUUCCUGUAGGCCAAUGAUGAAUGGCGUCACUACAGUUUUGGUCAGCCCUUUCCAUCUCCGUGUCUUUCCUGUAUGCCAAUGGUGAAUGGAGUCGUUAGAGUUUUGGUUACCCAUUUUACAUGCCCAGAAAAACUACUGGUGACCAAGCAUGCUCAUCACAUCAUGGUUGAAUAGCAAACUCCUAAUAUUUCCAUAUGUUGUGCACAGUCUUCUCCUUUAUUCACAUCGAUUGUAUAAUGUAUCAAGUUAAAACUACCAGUUGUGUUCUGAACAUUGUGUAUUUUUUGGACAUGUCCAUUACUUGAGAAAUCGGCUAAUCAUGUAUAUCCAUGAAGAUGUAAAUCUAUUUCCCUUCCAAUUUUCAACUCAGAUUAUAUUGUGAGAUAUAA